GAUGAACGCUGGCGGCGUGCUUAACACAUGCAAGUCGAACGGUGAAAGAGGAGCUUGCUCCUCUGGAUCAGUGGCGAACGGGUGAGUAACACGUGAGCAAUCUGCCCCGAACUCUGGGAUAAGCGCUGGAAACGGCGUCUAAUACCGGAUACGAUGCGGGAGGGCAUCCUCUCCGCGUGGAAAGAAUUUCGGUUCGGGAUGAGCUCGCGGCCUAUCAGCUUGUUGGUGAGGUAACGGCUCACCAAGACGACGACGGGUAGCCGGCCUGAGAGGGUGACCGGCCACACUGGGACUGGGACACGGCCCAGACUCCUACGGGAGGCAGCAGUGGGGAAUAUUGCACAAUGGGCGCAAGCCUGAUGCAGCAACGCCGCGUGAGGGACGACGGCCUUCGGGUUGUAAACCUCUUUUAGCAGGGAAGAAGCGAAAGUGACGGUACCUGCAGAAAAAGCACCGGCUAACUACGUGCCAGCCGCCGCCGUAA
rnacentral:rRNA from 1 species